GUGCUCGCUUCAGCAGCACAUAUAUAAAAUUGGAACGAUACGGAGAUUAGCAUGGCCCCUGCACAAGGAUGACAAAAAAAAAAAAAAAGUUUCCUAACGUUGUU